AAACUUUCAGCAACGGAUCUCUUGGUUCAGGCAUCGAUGAAGAACGCAGCGAAAUGCGAUAAGUAAUGUGAAUUGCAGAUACAGUGAAUCAUCGAAUCUUUGAACGCAAAUGGCACUCUAUGGUAUUCCGUAGAGUACGUCUGUUUGAGCGUCGCGAACAUCUCCAUAAUUAGUUUUUUUAAAUUAAUUAAGGGUUUUGAGGUU
rnacentral:rRNA from 1 species